rnacentral:rRNA from 1 species
GACGAACGCUGGCGGCGUGCCUAAUACAUGCAAGUUGAGCGCUGAAGGUUGGUACUUGUACCAACUGGAUGAGCAGCGAACGGGUGAGUAACGCGUGGGGAAUCUGCUUUGAGCGGGGGGCAACAUUUGGAAAAGAAUGCUAAUACCGCAUAAAAACUUUAAAAACAAGUUUUAAGUUUGAAAGAUGGCAUUUGAUCACUCAAAGAAGAUCCCGCGUUGUAUUAGCUAGUUGGUGAGGUAAAGGCUCACCAAGGCGAUGAUACAUAGCCGACCUGAGAGGGUGAUCGGCCACAUUGGGACUGAGACACGGCCCAAACUCCUACGGGAGGCAGCAGUAGGGAAUCUUCGGCAAUGGACGAAAGUCUGACCGAGCAACGCCGCGUGAGUGAAGAAGGUUUUCGGAUCGUAAAACUCUGUUGGUAGAGAAGAACGUUGGUGAGAGUGGAACGCUCAUCAAGUGACGGUAACUACCCAGAAAGGGACGGCUAACUACGUG